CGUCAUCCGCUCCAGGAUAUUACGGUCAGGCCGCACGCCAUUCGUCACUCAUGUGUUCCCCACCCGACCUCCCCCUCCUUUCCUUUCGUUCCUUCUCAACCCCCACACCCCCCCCCACAACACACCAACUCUCUUUUCAGCUACGGGCGCUCGGAAUCUCUCCCUGGCUCCCGGAAUUCUAAUCGCCUCCAUGUUCUUCGCCGUCGCACUGGGAAAGUUCUGCCUCUCAAAGUCGCGGGGGCCGCCCGCACGCAAGAUGACGAGCGGACCCGGGGUCGACUGAGGUCCGCCCCUGCCAGGGAGCAACACCCCAAUCCC